rnacentral:tRNA from 1 species
GAGGGUGUAGCUCAGUGGUAGAGUGAGUGCUUAGCAUGCACAAGGUCCUGGGUUCAAUCCCCAGUACCUCCA